CUCCCGUUGAUCCUGCCGGACCCGACUGCUAUCAGAGUGGGACUAAGCCAUGCGAGUCAACAUAGCAAUAUGUGGCAUACGGCUCAGUAACACGUAGUCAACAUGCCCAGGGGACGUGGAUAACCUCGGGAAACUGAGGAUAAACCGCGAUAAGUGAGGAUUUCUGGAAUGGGUAAUGACUCAAAUCUACAUGGCCCCUGGAUUGGACUGCGGCCGAUCAGGCUGUUGGUGAGGUAAUGGCCCACCAAACCUGUAACCGGUACGGGCUCUGAGAGGAGGAGCCCGGAGAUGGGCACUGAGACAAGGGCCCAGGCCCUAUGGGGCGCGGCAGGCGCGAAACCUCUGCAAUAGGCGAAAGCCUGACAGGGUUACUCUGAGUGAUUUCCGUUAAGGAGAUCUUUUGGCACCUCUAAAAAUGGUGCAGAAUAAGGGGUGGGCAAGCCUGGUGUCAGCCGCCGCGGUAAUACCAGCUCCUCGAGUGGUCGGGGCGAUUAUUGGGCCUAAAGCAUCCGUAGCCGGUUCCGUAGGUCCUCUGUUAAAUCCAGCCGCUUAACGGUUGGCCUGCAGAGGAUACCGCGGGACUAGGAGGCGGGAGAGGCGGGCGGUACUCUACGUGUAGGGGUAAAAUCCUUUGAUCCGUAGAAGACCACCAGUGGCGAAGGCGGCCCGCCAGAACGCGCUCGACGGUGAGGGAUGAAAGCUGGGGGAGCGAACCGGAUUAGAUACCCGGGUAGUCCCAGCCGUAAACGAUGCGAGCUAGAUGAUCCAGUCGCAAAUCGCGAUUGGAGUGUCGCAGGGAAGCCGUUAAGCUCGCCGCCUGGGGAGUACGGUCGCAAGACUGAAACUUAAAGGAAUUGGCGGGGGACCA
rnacentral:rRNA from 1 species